rnacentral:rRNA from 1 species
UACGGGGGGGGCAAGCGUUGUUCGGAAUUACUGGGCGUAAAGGGCGCGUAGGCGGCCUUCUAAGUCGGACGUGAAAUCCCUCGGCUUAACCGGGGAACUGCGUCCGAUACUGAAAGGCUUGAAUCCGGGAGAGGGAUGUGGAAUUCCAGGUGUAGCGGUGAAAUGCGUAGAUAUCUGGAGGAACACCCGUGGCGAAAGCGGCGAGCUGGACCACUACUGACGCUGAAGAACGAAAGCUAGGGGAGCAAACAGG